AGAGACGUGGGAGCCGAUGAAGGUCGCACGCCAGCCUCCCACCUGUGAGACAAAGGGCCCUGUCACUGGAAGCCACGUCCAGCCUGGCCCCGCAGGAGCCAGGGCUCUGCGCCUAACGGAGGACUGAUGGGAAAGGGAAGGCUGGCAGCAGUGAGGGGCCAAUCAUCUGAAUCACGUUCCUGUAUUCAGGAUUUGCCCCUCCAAAACAGUUUUGAUGGGAGACACCAGCCACCUACUAUUAUGCAGCCAUGCACCACAUAACGACGUUUCAGGCAACAAUGACUGCACAUACCACAGUGGUCCCGUAAAAUUACAAUGGAGCUGAAAAAUUCCUAUUGCCUAGUGACGUCACAGCCAUUGUAAGGUCAGAGUGCAACACAUCACUCAUGUGUUUGUGUUGAUGCUGCUGUAAACAAACCUACCGCACUGCCAGUCAUAUAAAAGUAUAGCCCAUACAAUUAUGUGUAGUACUUAAUACUUAAUAAUAAUAAACAACUAUGUUGCUGGUUUACG
rnacentral:lncRNA from 10 species